rnacentral:misc_RNA from 1 species
GAUGAAGAAAGUAGCGAAAUGCGAUACGUAAUGUGAAUUGCAGAAUUCAGUGAAUCAUCGAGUCUUUGAACGCACAUUGCGCCCCCUGGUAUUCCGGGGGGCAUGCCUGACCGAGCGUCAUUGCUGCCCUCAAGCACGGCUUGUGUGUUGGGCCUCCGUCCUCCUCCCGGGGGACGGGCCCGAAAGGCAGCGGCGGCACCGCGUCCGGUCCUCGAGCGUAUGGGGCUUCGUCACCCGCUCUUGUAGGCCCGGCCGGCGCUUGCCGACACAUCAAUCUUUUUUCCAGGUUGACCUCGGAUCAGGUAGGGAUACCCGCUGAACUUAAGCAUAUCAAUAAGCGGAGGA